GACGAACGCUGGCGGCGUGCUUAACACAUGCGAGUCGAACGGAAAGGCCCCUUUGGGGGUACUCGAGUGGCGAACGGGUGCGUAACACGUGAGUAACCUGCCCUUGACUUCGGGUUAACUUCAGGAAACUGGGGCUAAUACCGGAUAGGAAUCCUUGCUGCAUGGUGGGGGUUGGAAAGCUUCGGCGGUUUUGGAUGGACUCGCGGCUUAUCAGCUUGUUGGUGGGGUAGUGGCUUACCAAGGCUUUGACGGGUAGCCGGCCUGAGAGGGCGACCGGACACAUUGGGACUGGGAUACGGCCCAGUAUCCUACGGGAGGCAGUAGUGGAGAAUAUUGCCCAAUGGGCGGAAGCCUGAUGCAGCAACGCCGCGUGCGGGAUGACGGCCUUCAGGUUGAAAACCGCUUUCAGCAGGGGCGAAGCUUGUGGUGACGGUACCUGCAGAAGAAGCACCGGCUAACUACGUG
rnacentral:rRNA from 1 species